rnacentral:rRNA from 1 species
AUUGAACGCUGGCGGCAUGAUUUACACAUGCAAGUCGAACGGUAACAGCACUUCGGUGGCUGACGAGUGGCGAACGGGUGAGUAAUACAUCGGAACGUGCCUAGUAGUGGGGGAUAACUACUCGAAAGAGUAGCUAAUACCGCAUGAGAUCUAAGGAUGAAAGCAGGGGACCUUCGGGCCUUGCGCUACUAGAGCGGCUGAUGGCAGAUUAGGUAGUUGGUGGGAUAAAAGCUUACCAAGCCGACGAUCUGUAGCUGGUCUGAGAGGACGACCAGCCACACUGGGACUGAGACACGGCCCAGACUCCUACGGGGGGCAGCAGUGGGGAAUUUUGGACAAUGGGCGCAAGCCUGAUCCAGCAAUGCCGCGUGCAGGAUGAAGGCCUUCGGGUUGUAAACUGCUUUUGUACGGAACGAAAAGCCCUCUUCUAAUACAGGAGGGUCAUGACGGUACCGUAAGAAUAAGCACCGGCUAACUACGUG